rnacentral:lncRNA from 1 species
GAUUUGUCAGCCUGGCACCACUGAGUCAUCUGGCUGGUCUCUUCCAAAUGCAAAUUUUUACUCUGCGCGGUUUUUGCAUGUAAUAUGAACUCGGAAAGAGCUGCUGUCUUCACCACCCCUUGCUCACCUGUUGCUCCUCAUCCACUUUUCUCCUGGAAGGUUUCCAAUGACUCUCACAAUCCUUCACGCACAAUAAACUAGACGGCAAGGCUGACUUCGUCUCUCUUAGCUUGCCAGAGUCUCUGCCCUCUUACUCCCCCUACUGGCUAGACAUGGGUGUUGUGGAGCCAAACUGCUGCCUUAGGAGUAGCAGGGCCAUAGGGAGAAGCUGAGUACUUGGUGUCUUGGCAUCAUCGCAAGUGCUUAAACUUUGGCUGCUGUGGAAGAAAGAGGGAGAAAACAGCCGGAAAACAGGUCAGCAGAGAGCUACGUCAGAUGAUGUUGGCAAAGAGAACACAGGGUACCUGAGACACAGCUGCCUGGGUAGAUAACCACAGCCCAGGGGGAAGCGUCCAGUAUCCAGCCGCUCCAACUUAGGCUCCUUCAAGGCCUUGGCUCCAGCCCUCCUUAGCCUUGCCAAGUCCCCUCCAGGACAAGGACACAAAACUAACUAAAGUCGCUUUGUUUCUCAGGAACUCUGAGAAAGACUUGGGUCUCUGGCUCCCUACACUAAUGAUUCACUAAAGCUUCCAGAGUUAGACUGCAUUUCCCAUCCUCCUUUGCAGCUGUGUGUAGCCUCUGAACCCUGGCCAGUGCCAUAGGAGCAGAUACUUUGUGUCCAACAUCGUAGACUCUAAUCUACUGCCACUGAUUGACAGAUACUGAGAUCAGCAUGUGGUAAAAAUGAGAUUUCCGGGAUAAAUAAGAGGAGAACAGACACAACUGAAGCAUAGAAAAGACAUAUUUGUGCCUUAAAGAAAACGCUUGAUGUCUGGAGUGGUGGCCCAGCUGUUAAGAGCAUUUGUAGAGAUUCUGAGUUCUUUCGCAGCGACCGCAUCAUAUGGCUGUACCUCCUCUGGGUCUGACCCUCUCCUCUGGCCUCCAACAGCUCCUGCACUUACAUGGCUUGCAAAUAAAAAUAUAAGUCUUUU